UCGUGAUGGUCACACCUGUUCCCAUGCCGAACACAGAAGUUAAGCUCCUUAGCGCCGAUGGUAGUCGGACUUACGUUCCGCAAGAGUAGGAC
rnacentral:rRNA from 1 species